rnacentral:rRNA from 1 species
GCCAGACUCCUACGGGAGGCAGCAGUGGGGGAUAUUGCACAAUGGGGGAAACCCUGAUGCAGCAACGCCGCGUGAGUGAAGAAGUAUUUCGGUAUGUAAAGCUCUAUCAGCAGGGAAGAGAAUGACGGUACCUGACUAAGAAGCCCCGGCUAACUACGUGCCAGCAGCCGCGGUAAUACGUAGGGGGCGAGCGUUAUCCGGAUUUACUGGGUGUAAAGGGAGCGUAGACGGCUGGUCAAGUCUGAAGUGAAAGCCCGGGGCUUAACCCCGGAACGGCUUUGGAAACUGAGCAGCUAGAGUGCUGGAGAGGUAAGCGGAAUUCCUAGUGUAGCGGUGAAAUGCGUAGAUAUUAGGAGGAACACCAGUGGCGAAGGCGGCUUACUGGACAGUAACUGACGUUGAGGCUCGAAAGCGUGGGGAGCAAACAGGAUUAGAUACCCCUGUA